UCCCGCCCAACACUUAAUUCACUGUUAAAUUUCUAACUUCUGAAAAUUGAGAAGAGUUCAAGGUGAGGCUUGAACUCACUACCCCAUGCUUUAAAACAUGCAUAAGCACUACUAAUUAAGACACUUAGCUUGUCAUCGGUAUGAAAAAUAUAUUAUAUAAAACAAUUAAAUGUGUGAGGAACUAAAAAUUAAUACAAAUAUAUGUAUUAUUGGUAGAUAAUUAAUAAAUAAUAUAUUUUUCAUACAUACACAAAAUAAUUAAGUUUAUGGUGUCAAAAGCAUAUGUCGUGGUAUUCGCUAAAAAAAACAUGUGGUGGCGAGUUCAAAUCCCAUCUUAAAUACUUAUUUCAAUUUUUAAACCCUUUUCCCGAGUAUAUUAACAUGUCAGUGGCAUAUGUUUACUCUUUGCACCUUGCAACUUAUCUACCAAAUCCUUGAUAUGGUCCAAAGAAUUAGCACUAUGAUUCUGAUGAUCAGGAUGAGUUUUCAGUUGGUUGUGAUAAGGGUAAUUGACUAUUAUAUAUAGUCAUUCAUAUUUCCUAAUAAUCCACUUAACUAACAAUGACAGAUUCGGAUGUUAUGCUCAAAUUAAGAUGACACACACGCAUGAUAUACCCCCAAUAUAUAAGAUAUAGAGAACUUCAGUGUUUCACUGAUACAUAUAGUUCUUGAUUUUAGAAAGAGAGAAGGCAGGAUUGUUAAGAGGCCAGGGGUUCUGUGGAUUGAUCAGGAGAAUAGUUUGCACAAAGUUGAGAGACCGAGAGAAAAUAGGACAUGUGAAGAGAAGCUAGCCCAUGGCCAUGGGAAUUAAUAAAGAAAUGGCAAAUUAAGGAAAAUUAAAUGAGAUAUAUAGUCUCAUUCUAAAAUACGAUCAUUGUCACUUUACUAUGUGGUAAAUAAUAGAAUGAAAAAUCUUACCCAAGAAUGAAAGAAGGAAAAUAGAAAGAAAAGUUGUAUUUUGAAGUAAAUCCUACUAGAAGAUAACCACACUUAUCAUUAUGGGAAUUAGGAAUUGUCAAGCCCUUCACCGAAAGACACAAGGUGUAUUUCACUUCGCUUGUGUUUGUGCAUGGAUUGAGACAUGCAGAACCCAACACUAGCUAGCUUCUUGAUUAUCAUUUUAUUUGAAUUUGACAAUUUGCAUUGUAGCAGGUACAACAGUAAUAAAGGCUUCAACAAGCCUCAAAGUUCCACCACUUUUUCAUGUUUGUGAUAUUCUCACUGGAAUGAAAUAUGAAGUAGUGGAAGCCUUUG
rnacentral:lncRNA from 1 species